CGGUUAGUUAUUCUAAACUCUUCUAACAUAAAUUCUAUCAAACUUACAUCUUUUGCUCCCUUGAAAGUGUUGAAACUUUUCAGGGUCCUCUGUUUUAGCUUUAAUUUGCUUUAACUUGUGUCAUUUUAUUCUCUCUUAAUUUACUAUGUACCAACACAUUCCUUCAAAUCUCAUUAUUGUCCACUCUUUUAAUAACAAUUAGGAUCUUAUACUCCAUAUUAGAUUUAGUGCAUUAAAAACACCACAAUGAAAAUGUUAACUUAUUUUAAAGUAUCACAAUGUAGUAUAAUAAUAUUCAGUUUUGACAUAUAUGCAACUUUAUUCUUCUGUUUCGUCUGAAGGACUUCAUACUUAUAGCUUCUCAUUCACGAUGUUAGUUUCCUUCGAUUUAACAAAUACAUCUACUUGUAUGCACCUCAUUGUACCUAUAGAAAAAAAAAAGAUGUAAAAACAUUUUUUCACAUAAUUAAAAACAAAAAUACCAUGUGUUAAACCCUAAUUUUGUAAUUGAUGCAACUUUUUUAAAAAAAACGAUCAAGUCAUUUAGUCUUCUUAUUCUUACAAUAGCACUCAUGAGAGUUGCAAUCUUAGUAAAAACAAAAAUAAAAAUUUUAAACUCUUUUUUAAAAAAAAAAAAAAUUCAAGAUGUGACUUUUUCUUAUUAAAAAAACAUGGAAAAUAGUAUAUAAAAUUUAAAGGUAUACAAAUUGGGUUAUAAACUUAAUUAAAAAAAUUUAUGAAAACUUACAAGAUAUUUCCCCUCUACUAUAAAAACAGAAGGAAAGAAAAAAGAAAAGAAAAAAAAAAUGUAGAUGUUGAAACAAUUUAGUUAAAAUAUAAUUUUAAAAUUUUGUAAUAUGAGAGUUUGUUUAACUUUAGUAGUGUACACAGUAUACUUUUAAAUUCCAAAGUAAACUUUUAAUAAAUCUUAAUUUUGAUUAUUUUAAACUAAUCUUAGAUUUAUUAAAACCAUACAAACUAAAAUUAGACAAAUAAAAUUAACCACGUAGGUAAUAAUAAUAAAUAUUUGAAAACUAAAUAGUAUCACGAGGCAAAGAUGAGUAAAAAAGGCUGCAACUUUGCAGUAUGACAUGAUAUGAUAGAUAAGGUAUAAAUGUAAAUGUAACGUAAUUGUUGGUAGAUGAAGAUGAUGAUGAUUAAUUGCGUGACAGGUGCAAGCGUGAAGCUAAUCUGUCAGAACACUAAAUACCCAUUGGUUCAAACAGCAACCACUGACAAGAACGGCUAUUUCUUCAUCACAGCCCCAAAGGCCAUCACCAGCUACGCCUUCCAUAAGUGCAAGGUCGUUCUCGGCUCUUCCCCUUCCCCCACUUGCACCAAGCCCUCCGCUCUCCACGGCGGCGCUGCCGGAGCCCCUCUCCGCCCUCAGAAGUCUUACAUCGACGCCAAUAAACUCCCCUUCGUUCUCUACUCCGUUGGCCCUUUUGCCUUCGAACCCACUUGCCCUCAUCAUUAGUCCUCGUUUAUGCUUCUUCUUUUUAAUUC
rnacentral:lncRNA from 1 species